rnacentral:tRNA from 1 species
GCCCUGGUAGCUCAGCUGGCCGGAGCGGCUGACUUGUAAUCAGCAGGUCGGGGGUUCAAAUCCCCCCCAGGGCU